AACGAACGCUGGCGGCAGGCCUAGCACAUGCAAGUCGUGCGUGAACGCUCCUUCGGGAGUUAUUAAAGCGGCGAACGGGUGAGUAACACGUGAAUAAUCUGCCCUAGAGACUGGGAUAACAGUUGGAAACGACUGCUAAUACCGGAUAAGCCUACGACUCUUCGGAGCAGUAGGAAAAGCGGGGGAUCCUUCGGGACCUCGUGCUUUAGGAUGAGUUCGCGGCCCAUUAGGUAGUUGGCGGGGUAACGACCCACCAAGCCAGAGAUGGGUAGCUGGUCUGAGAGGAUGAUCAGCCACACUGGAACUGAGACACGGUCCAG
rnacentral:rRNA from 1 species